GUUAGGAUAAAACAUUGCAUUUGAACAUGUGUGGCAGGUUGAGUGUUGCUCCUCCUCCACUCAGGUGAUUUCUGGUGGGCAGAUUGCAGAGUGGUUUCACCUGUAUAAGUGCUGCGCCUUCUCUGGCGCUCACACUGCUGCCUGGCACUCGUGGCGAGGACUCGGUGUGGCGUCUGUUAGUUGUUGGUUUGUUGUCGGUUGGUGUGGUGUGCUUCAGUCACUUGAAGCGUUGUGGCCGUGUUGUUCGGGGGCGGCAUUGUGAAGAGUGAGGGGAGUGUGGCAUCCGCUCUGUACUGUUGCCGCAGCCGGUGAUCAGUUUCGGGGGCGUAAAGCUCUCUUCGUUCGGCUGUUGGAGCCGCAGCGGUGCUUUUGCUUUUCUUCCUCCUCCUGUGCUCUGGUGAAGCUGCCCUGCACGGCUCUGUGACGUAGCCUACACCUGGCGAUCCCCAAACGUAAACCAUCCACGGCCUCCGGUCCUGGGGCGGCCACUCUGUCUUCGCCAGCCGCUUCGUCUUCUCCAUCCACUCCGUCGUCUUCAUCAUCUUCGGCUGCUCCGGCACCGUUGCCUUUUUCCACACAGUCCGAUGUGGCGGUUGCAUUCCCACG